UACGUAGGGCGCAAGCGUUGUCCGGAAUUAUUGGGCGUAAAGAGCUCGUAGGUGGUUUGUUACGUCUGCUGUGAAAACCUAGGGCUUAACCCUGGGCCUGCAGUGGAUACGGGCAGACUAGAGGUAGGUAGGGGAGAAUGGAAUUCCCGGUGUAGCGGUGAAAUGCGCAGAUAUCGGGAGGAACACCGGUGGCGAAGGCGGUUCUCUGGGCCUUACCUGACACUGAGGAGCGAAAGCGUGGGGAGCGGAACAGG
rnacentral:rRNA from 1 species